UACGGGGGGGGCAAGCGUUGUUCGGAAUUACUGGGCGUAAAGGGCUCGUAGGCGGCCCACUAAGUCCGACGUGAAAUCCCCAGGCUUAACUUGGGAACUGCGUCGGAUACUGGUGGGCUUGAAUCCGGGAGAGGGAUGCGGAAUUCCAGGUGUAGCGGUGAAAUGCGUAGAUAUCGGGAGGAACACCUGUGGCGAAAGCGGCUCACUGGACCGCAACUGACGCUGAGGCGCGAAAGCUAGGGGAGCAAACAGG
rnacentral:rRNA from 1 species